rnacentral:rRNA from 1 species
UACGUAGGGGGCAAGCGUUGUCCGGAAUCAUUGGGCGUAAAGAGCGUGUAGGCGUCCCGGUAAGUCCGCUGUGAAAGUCCAGGGCUCAACCCUGGGAUGCCGGUGGAUACUGUCGGGCUCGAGUCCGGAAGAGGAGUGUGGAAUUCCUGGUGUAGCGGUGAAAUGCGCAGAUAUCAGGAGGAACACCAAUGGCGAAGGCAGCACUCUGGGACGUGACUGACGCUGAGACGCGAAAGCGUGGGGAGCAAACAGG